UACGUAGGGGGCAAGCGUUGUCCGGAUUUAUUGGGCGUAAAGAGCGUGUAGGCGGCCAGACAGGUCCGUUGUGAAAACUCGAGGCUCAACCUCGAGACGCCGAUGGAAACCGUCUGGCUAGAGUCCGGAAGAGGAGAGUGGAAUUCCUGGUGUAGCGGUGAAAUGCGCAGAUAUCAGGAAGAACACCCGUGGCUAAGGCGGCUCUCUAGUACGGUACUGACGCUGAGACGCGAAAGCGUGGGGAGCAACGG
rnacentral:rRNA from 1 species